ensembl:snRNA
UUGCUGUGGGAAAAAAGCAAAGGUUAGCAUCUCCCUUGUUAAGAAUGAAAGAGGCCUUCAGGCCUAUUUUCAUAGCACCUACCAUGUUUUUUU